rnacentral:rRNA from 1 species
GACGAACGCUGGCGGCGUGCUUAACACAUGCAAGUCGAACGGAAAGGCCCUGCUUUUGUGGGGUGCUCGAGUGGCGAACGGGUGAGUAACACGUGAGUAACCUGCCCUUGACUUUGGGAUAACUUCAGGAAACUGGGGCUAAUACCGGAUAGGAGCUCCUGCUGCAUGGUGGGGGUUGGAAGGUUUCGGCGGUUGGGGAUGGACUCGCGGCUUAUCAGCUUGUUGGUGGGGUAGUGGCUUACCAAGGCUUUGACGGGUAGCCGGCCUGAGAGGGUGACCGGCCACAUUGGGACUGAGAUACGGCCCAGACUCCUACGGGAGGCAGCAGUGGGGAAUAUUGCACAAUGGGCGGAAGCCUGAUGCAGCAACGCCGCGUGCGGGAUGACGGCCUUCGGGUUUUAAACCGCUUUCGCCUGUGACGAAGCGUGAGUGACGGUAAUGGGUAAAGAAGCACCGGCUAACUACGUG